GCCGCCUGAGCCCAAGGUGACCGCCUUUCAACCGCAGCUGCUCCGCUAAGCCCUGGGCGCGCUGUGUCCGUCCCUCUUCCCUCAAUCUGGAAGUGCACUUGGCCGCGGGCGCCUCGAGGACUUUUCCAGGAGGGGUGAAGGGAAAGCAGCCUCUGAGCUUGACGCGGGCAGUGGCACACCUCUCGGAAAAGGCCUCGCUGAGCCCAGAAACCCGGAGGGAGCCUGGGGCGCGCCAGGAGAGGGCUCCUGGCGCCCCCUCCAGUCUGAGCCGUACGCUGCAAGGGUGGAAUGUGGAUGGACCGCCCCGAGGCCAGGGGCGUUGUGGCCCGCCGGCCUGGGCGGGGCUAGCAAGGCCCCGGAAAGAUGGCUUUGGAGGACACCAGCGCCAGAGGGCCAGCGGUUCAAAGGCCCAGCCCGAGGCACCGUUGGGGUCAAGCCUCCUGGGAAUGCCGGGGACGUGGGAGCGAAAAGGUGCCAGGGUGGCGCCCCGAGAGUUGAACGGCACCCAGACUUGUCUCCCAGCUGGCGGGCCGAGUCCAGGGAAAACCUCUUACAAGAAGUCUGGUGCCCCGAGCUGACCUGAGGCGCGUCAGAGCACGAAAUGCGGUGCCCUGCCGAGGCCCCCGUCCCCUCCCCGCCCCGAGGGCGGGGCCGUAAGUCUUCCCUGCAGGUGCAGGGGGCGGUGCCCGGCCCUGCCCCGGGGGGCCGUUCUUGGAGGCCAGGGGCGGGUCAGAGAAACGGCCGAGAUAGGCGACGCCUUGGAACCCGCGGGCGGUGACUGUGCCACAGGUGCCGCGCCGGGCACCGUGGUCUCAGCUCUGGGCAUCAAAACUCCGGCGCUGGAAACUAAGUCUUCCGAGCUGCUCCCAACCCUGGACACCGAGGCCCCCGGGCCAGAGAGCGGAGCCCUGGGGUCGUCCGAAGAGCGGGGCCCCGAGACCCCCGGGUCAGCUAAGUCCCAGGGCCUGCCGCAGAGCAGGACGCUGAGGUCCCCAGGCCAGGAGGCAAGGUCUCCGUGCCCUCCGCAGAGCAGGACGCGGAGAGAGCUGAGCAAGAGAGCGAAGUCCUUGGGCCAUCAGCGGGGCUGGACGCAGAACGCCCCGGGCCGUCUGCAGCUGGGGGGGUUUGAGAGUCUCCGGCCCGGCAACCACGACCCCGAGCCGUCUAAAGCGCGAAGCGCGGGGUUCCCGAAGCAGUGUCCCCUUCAGGAUCCCUAGACCUUCUCCUCGGGGUCAGAUUCCGAAGGCCCCCUGCAGCAUUUUCUACUGCGCCCGAAGACCCCCCGGCAGGCCCCCGAGGAGCCGUUCAUGGAGACGCCCAUCGAGCGAGAAAUCCGCCGCAGCUGCGAACGCGAGGAGAGCCUGCGCCGGAGCCGAGGCCUGAGCCCUGGCGGUGCAGGCCGAGAACUCGUCGAGCUGCGCGUGCGGCCGGUGCUCAGCCUGCCCAGCCCCGGCCCCGCGCUCCCGCGCGCCUUGGAGCGCGCGCGGGCGGGCGCGCAGAUGCAGCGAGACAUCGAGCGGGAGGCCCACCGUCAGGCGGCGCUGGCGCGCCCCGCAGCCCCAGAGCGGUGCGCCCGGCCGCCGCCGCCGGCGCUCGGCGAGCUCAAGCGAUUCUUUGAGGCCGCCGGGGGACGCGGCUCCUCGGCGGCGGCUGAAGGCGGCGCCGUCCCGCAGGGGCUGCCCGAUCCCGGAGGCCGGCCGCGCUCGGCCGUGCAGGGUCGGUGCCCGGUGCUGGCCCGCGCCCCGCCGCGGGUCGCGCGGUCGCUGCUGGAGCAGGAGGUGAGCGAGGCGCGUGAGCGCGAGCGGGAGCUGCAGCGCCAGCGGCUCAGCGUCUACGGCACCGCCGAGUUCAAGGAGCCCGCGCCGAGCCUCACGGGUUGCUCCCUCCUUCAGAAUGGAGGCUUCCAUGGGAAGCAGGGUAAACGCCUGUGUGUUUAAGGGGCGCGGCCGGCCUCCCUGGUCCUGGCCGCCUCCAGCUGGUGACAGGAGGGGCAACCCCGGCUGAGCGCCCCUUCCCCCGCAGCGAGCAGGGGCGACGGAAAGCUGGCGGUGACCUGGCCUCCCCGCAGAAAGGCGUCUGAGAGCGGCUUGGAGCAGGAGGAGCGGAAGCCUUGAGGUUCCAGCAGGCUGGGACCCCCUGCCAGAGGUAACAUGCAUAUCAGAGGAAACUGGUAGGGGUGCCCAGGAGUGCUCUCGGAAUCCACUGAAGGCCUGGAAGAGGGCCAGCCGUCUGCGCUGGGGAAGAUGAAAUCGACCAGCUCCUCCUUGAACCUGACUGUGAAAUUGACCAGUCUCUUCUAUAAAACUGUUAGUCCCGGCUGGGAAACACUACGAUUCUCAAACCGCCAGUGAAACUGUUCAGCCCUCCUCCGCCUACCUGCAAACCCAACUGGCCUCUCCCUCUGGCCUUUGCGAUUAGAGGGCCAGGGUCUCCGCCUCGGCUACCCUCACUCCCCAGUAAAGCCCCUUCUUUCUGGGCAGUUCAGGCUGUUUUCCUCUGGGUCCCUUCGUCUGGGCUGCGGCUGGAGCGCGCCUGGCGGAGGAAAGCCUGAGAAAGCUGCAGGAGGCGCGGGCCAGAAUACAGAAUGUACCCCUUAGCGCCCUGUUCUGGGGCUGCUGGUCUCCCCCGGCCCGGCCCGGGUCUUGGUGCCCCCUGGCGGCGCGGGAGCGAACUGCGGCGUUCGGACAAAUGAGCUCAAGCCCUUCCUUUUUCCAGACCUCGUCAACAUUUAUUGGUGCCAACUGCACGCCCGGAGCCGGGCGCGGGCUAGACAGAGGUGAUAAGAGGUUGUUCCUGCCCUGGGGACGUAAACAAUAGCUACUAAAAAAAGGCGGUGGUGGUGAAGGGUACAAGCUUCUUAGCAGGGCAUACAAGGCCAUUUAUAAUCUGUCCAGCUAUCGCAAACUUCACAUGCCCUAUAGACCCCAGACAGAUAUUGAGAGAAAUGGGGUGUGCUUUAAAAUGCCUUGUUUCAACGGGCAGGUAAGUGUUCCUCCAUAUCAGCAGUACUACAAAUGAGUGAACUCAGUGGUGCCAGAGCUUCUGAUUUCCAAAAGCACAUGGGUGGGGUGGGGGGGAAACCCAGCCUUUAAAAGAGAAAUCUAGGGGACCCCGGGGGGUUCAGACCGUUAAGCGUCUUAGGUUCAGGUUAUGAUCUGCGGUCUGGGGAUCGAGCCCCAUGUCUGCCUUCCCACUAGGCAUGGGAGUCUGUAUCUCCCCCUGCCCUCCCCCUGCACACACACUCUCUCUCUCAAAUAAAAUCUUAAAAAAAAAAAAAAAAUCUGAACUUUAAACGUGACUUUUGGGGCGCCUGGGUGGGUCUGUUAAGUGUCUGCCUUCGGCUCAGGUCAUGAUCCCAGGGUCCUGGGAUGGAGCCCCACGUCGGGUUCCCUGCUCAGCAGGGAGCCUGCUUCUCUCCCUCUGCUGCUCCCCCUGCUUGUGCUCUCUCUCAAAUAAAUAAAAUAUUUUAGGGGUGCCUGGGUGGCUCAGUUGUUAAGCGUCUGCCUUCCGCUCGGGUCAUGAUCCCGGGGUCCUGGGAUCGAGCCCCGCAUUGGGCUCCAUGCUACACGGGGAGCCUGCUUCUCCCUCUCCCACUCCCCCUGCUUGUGUUCCCUCUCUCGCUGUUUCUCUGUCAAAUAAAUAAAAUCUUUAAAAAUAAAUAAAUAAAUAAAACAUUUUAAAAAUGUGACUAGAAAACUUUUUAAAUUGGGUGUGGGGCACAGGAGGUGCAACAAGCAGCACCUGUUUGCAAUAGAGCUCGUAGCUGUCAACUGUCAAGCCCGCCUUAAUUUCUCUCCCAAGCCCUCAAUUUCUCUCCCAAGCCGAGGUUCAAGCCCCCCUUUCAUGGGGUUCAAGAGAGUCUGUGAACACCCUAAGUUGAAUAAGUGUAUCUGUGCAGUUUUAUUCUGUGGUUUUAGGGUACAAGCUUCUUAGGCGGGCACUGAGACCCAGAGAAGACCCAGGAAUGUUUUAGAAUCAUUGUUUCAACGCUUGGAUCUGUCCAGCUCUUUAUGCCCUGGGUCUAGCAACAGGCUUGAUUCUCCAUAGGGAGGACAAGUAGCUAAUGAAGAAUGAAAUAAUGCUCACACAGCAUUGGACCCCAAGAGAAGCUCAGUCUAAAAACGAAGCACCUGGGGUGCCUGGGUGGCUCAGUCGUUAAGUGUCUGCCUUCGGCUCAGGUCAUGAUCCCAGGGUCCUGGGAUCAAGCCCCGCAUCAGGCUCCCUGCACAGCCAGGAGCCUGCUUCUCCCUCUCUCACUGUCUCUCUCUGUCAAAUAAAUAAAGUCUUUAAAAAAAAUAAAAAUAAAUAAAAACGAACCACCUGAUCCCAGCAUCAGCACACUGAGUGCAUACUUGAUGGUGACUCUGCAGAGAAAGCAAAGAUCCAGCACUGUCAAGGUGGGAAAUGGAAACAGCCAGAGCUGAUUCUUAAUUCCCAGCAGGGGAGCUAAGAACGAAGCCUGUAGAGUUGACAGGACUACUAAAGUGUGGACCUGGGUUCUCAACCUUUCCUGCAAAUUGAAAUCACCUGAGGCACCCUUAUGUCGAGUAAAUCAGAAUCUGACGGGAAGCUUGGCCUCACUAUUUUUUUUAAAGCUCUACAGGUGCUUCCCACAUGGAGCUAAGUUUGCGAACCAUCAUGUAGGUAGCCUUAUGCUAGCAGUUCUCAAAGUGUAGUGCUUGGACCAGCAGCCUAAGGAUGGCUUGGGAACUCCUCACAAACGUAUUCUUGGGCCCCAUCCCAGACUUAAAAAUCAGACCCUCCACAUGAUUCCAUGCUAAAGUUGGAGAAUCAUGGUUAUCGAGAGUUCACAAGCAACAGGAUUCAGGAAAUCAAGCCUGUUUCCUUCCUCUCCCAGUACUGCCACCAUGCACCAGAAACCUUUGGGGUUUUUUUUAAGUUUUUAAAAAAGAUUUUAUUUAUUUGACAGAGACACAGCGAGAGACAGAACACAAGCAGGGGGAGUGGGAGAGGGAGAAGCAGGCUUCCUGCAGAGCAGGGAGCCUGAUGAGGGGCUGGAUCCUAGGACCCUGGGAUCAUGACUUGAGCCAAAGGCAGACGCUUAAUGACUGAGCCACCCAGGCGCCCCCAGAAACCUUUAGUUUUAAGUGGCCUUAAGGGAGACUGUCUAAAGCUGUGUGGCUGGUCUGAACUGAGAUGUGCUGUAAGCAUGAAAGACAUCAGAUUUCAAACUUACUACCCAAAAAGAACUAUCUCAAUAAUUUCUUGCAUUGAUUAUAUGUUGAAAUAAUAUUUUUGAUAUGUUGGGUUAAAUAAAAAUCACUGGGGCGCCUGGGUGGCUCAGAUGGUUAAGCAUCUGAGCCUUCUGCUCAGGUCAUGAUCCCAGGGUCCUGGGAUCGAGCCCCACAUCGGGCUCCUGGCUCAGCAGGGAGCCUGCUUCUCCUUCUCCCUCUGCCUCUCUCCCUGCUCAUGCUCUGUAUCUGUGUCUCAAAUGAAUAAAUAAAAUCUUUAAAAAAAAAUCACUAAAAUUAACGUGCUCUUAUUUUUUACCUUACCUUUUUUAAUGUGGUUACUAGGAUGUUUGAAAUUACGUAUGUGACUCGCACUUGUGGCUCAAUUUAAACUUCUUUUGGACCAAGCUAAAGAGUCUUCGUGUGUGUGUGUGUGUGUGUACUUAAAACCGUAUUGGGAAGCUUCAGAAUCCCCUUGAACUCAUUCAGACUAAACAAUCUUGAUGAAGUCAGAAAUUGUACCCCCCCCGCCCCCCAAAAGAUCAAGGGUUUUGGUGUCCAGUCGGGAUGAUUAAUUUUACCUCUCAUGUCCGUUUUUGUCAUCUUAAACUGGGGCUUGGAAUACUAAUGUGCCAGGGAGUUUUAGGUAAGUGAGUGCUUUGCUCAAAAACAUAAAGGUUAGGUCUCUCCUCUGACUCCAAAAAUGCUACAAGGAACGAAAAGGCAUGCCUGAAAGGGGGUAACUCGCAGAUGAGUGACUGCCGGGUCAGGAAGAACACCCUUCCUCUCGCAAGGGACCAGCUGCAAUCGGGAAGACCCGGUUCAGGUUCGAGCUCCGCCGCUUGCUCGCUGUAGCUUUGAAUAGGUGAGUUUACCUCUCUCAACCCGGGUCUCCUUUCCAGUCCAAGGUCGGAGUUAAGGUUAGAGAUCCCAAGCUGGAGUUCCUUACGGCUUUCCCACCCGGCGCGCCCCGAACACCCUGCGGAGUAAGACGACCUAUCCACUCCAUGACCCAAAAGCUGGAAGAGGAAGAUUUGACUCUGGCCUUUAGGAAACUGACCCCCGGCCCUUUCUGGGGCACGUCGGGAAAGUCUUUUCGGUAAAAAGAAGUCACUUCCGGGUCAAAAUACGAGAGUGGGCGUGGCUCCGGGGUCCCUUCCCCCAUUGGGCAUUGAAUUUCCCGGCUACCCAAAACUUGCGGUUUUUUGGGUUCCGGUUGUUGACAGGCAUUGCUACUUCCCUUUGAGCUUCAUGUGCGCCUCUGCGCAUGCCUUGAGC